rnacentral:tRNA from 1 species
GAGGGUAUAGCUCUGGUAGAGCGCAUGCUUAGCAUGCAUGAGGUUCUAGGUUCAAUCCCCAGUACUUCCA